GACGGAGGGUGCAAGCGUUGUUCGGAUUGACUGGGCGUAAAGGGCGUGUAGGCGGUUGGUUAAGUCGGGUGUGAAAGCCUGAGGCUCAGCCUCAGAAGUGCAUCCGAAACUAGCCAGCUGGAGCGCGAUAGAGGAGGGUGGAAUUCCUGGUGUAGCGGUGAAAUGCGUAGAUAUCGGAAGGAAUACCUGUGGUGUAGACGGCUCUCUGGACCAUAACUGACGCUGAGACACGAAAGCGUGGGUAGCAAACAGG
rnacentral:rRNA from 1 species